CUUCCUGAAAGGAAAAGCAAGGAAACAAACUAAGACAAGUUGCUGUUGGCGAUGCUGUUUGAAAACAGAAAAGAACAGAAAGAAACCAGAUCCUGCUCUGUGGAAAAUUGUGAAGAAACAGAAACACUCUAGAUUGGACACUGUGGCAGAGGACUAAAGACUAUGAGCCACCAGAAGGAGAUGCAGCUUGAGAACGGGAUGAAAGCUGCAGGAAAACUCAGACUACUGUGAAAGCAGAGCUUCUACAGGACUUGAAGUGUGAAGUUUGAAUACUUUGUUCUCCUGAGAGUUUAAAAAAAAUCCUUUUAUGGGACGAUGGAGCAAACCCUGCCGCUCCAGAGCAAACCUUCCUGUUGGAGUCGCUGCGACUCGCCCGGCCCGUGACCCGCCCGCAUGGUCAGCACCGCAGCUGCGCCGGGGGCGGCGGCGCUCCGCGGCGCUGCGCGCUGUUACGCCCGGAGCGACGGAGCUCCGACUUACAGACGCGCUGGGGAACGGGCACACGUGGCUCGCUGCUAUUUUGCUCCCAAACAGUCGGCUGUCUGAAAAUCGACAUAUUUUGCGAAGGUAUACGCACGUCUCUCAAAAAAAUAGUUUUCAUGGUCAUCUGAUGUUUCUUCCGUAACUGCUUUCCCUUGCCUUGCCGAGAAGCAGGUGAGCCAUCAGGUGCGAUUGGCAGCGGGUGAUGAACGGCAGUGGAAUGAGCAUGUAGCAAAUAGCCCUUAGCCUGAAAGCUGUCCGGGAGAUUGGAUUCCUUAGAAAUCACCCCGUACUCUGCCCGGUCUGUUGAAUGUACGCGUACAUAUUUAUACAUGAAAAAGUCCACAUUACCCAUAUAAA
rnacentral:lncRNA from 1 species